ACACGGGCCGGAUCAUCAGGUUGUGGCUACCAUACAGCGUCGUUUUUAAACCAUUGAAGUUGGUCAAAACGGCGCCGUUUCCAAUCCUUUAUAAUAGCCAAAUCAGCCGAAUCAAAUUAAUUUCUUUCUUUUUUCCUUAUCAAACCCUAAAUCUCCCCCUUAACUACCGAUUCAUCUCUGCGAUAGAUGCUCUCAAGCUUGGAAGAACGACCUUUCAGCCUCGAGGUCUUCCUUCGACUUCGAUUUCAACAAAACAAAGAGAAGAUCCAUGGCAUAUUCGCAUGUUUGUUGUAGGUGUGCAUGGCGUGGAGUAAAGAAGAUUGUGACAUGAAGACUGGUUCUGUUGUGAAGCUGCGGCGAGCAUGAGCUUGGUGGCUUAGGGUUUCCUGAGUGUUUUUUGUUUUGGGCUAGGAUUUGGGUUAAGAGUUUAUUUUAUUUUGGGCUAAUAAUUUGCUUAUAAGUGGGCUAGAUAAUUGGGCUUGUAACAGGGACAUUGGACUUGAUUAUUUUAGUUUUAUUAUUUUUGCUUUA